UACGGGGGGGGCAAGCGUUGUUCUGAAUUACUGGGCGUAAAGGGCUCGUAGGCGGCCAACUAAGUCAGACGUGAAAUCCCCAGGCUCAACCUGGGAACUGCGUCUGAUACUGGAUGGCUUGAAUCCGGGAGAGGGAUGCGGAAUUCCAGGUGUAGCGGUGAAAUGCGUAGAUAUCUGGAGGAACACCGGUGGCGAAGGCGGCAUCCUGGACCGGCAUUGACGCUGAGGAGCGAAAGCCAGGGGAGCAAACGGG
rnacentral:rRNA from 1 species